ACUUUGCCUCCAGCCAGUAUCUGAAAAAGAAGGAAAAAAUACAAAAAUUACCCAAAUCUGCGGUAUUUGAAUAGAGUCUUCCUCCUUUGAAGCCCCAUCCCAUUCAUUAGCUCCUGUACUGCUUUCAACAGCCCUCUGAGGAAGGUGUUCUUAUCCUGCUGAUCCAGUGCUCAACCGGGGUGAACAGGUGAGGGCAUGGGGCAUCGGACCAUACCACCGUGCCCCAGGUCUGGUCCUGUCCUGCCAGCAUCCGUUCUGAUUGGUAAUAGCCCGUGCUGCACUGAUGUUUACUUGUUUGAAUAGUGCCCCUGAUUUUCUCCACUUCACAGGUGAAAACUCAGAGAGGUGAAGGACGUAAGCCAGGCCGUACAGCUGAACCGGGGGCCCCUGACUCGCAGAACCCGUGAGCUUUUCCUGCUUCAAGCUGCCCCUCUCUGUGGCAGGUUAAAUCAUACCAGCUUUAAAGACCCCAUUACAAUACCUUGGUUUCUUUCUUUUCACCACCUUGGAAGCGGCAGUAAAAAUAUUAAAGCCAACUGCCGUCAUCUUUCAGACCGCUGUGUUUAUGAGAGGUAGCCUUCAAAUGAAUGAAAAUAAUCGCAAACUCCCUCCCUGUUCCAUUCUAUGGGGACAUUUCAGAUUUAUACAAUAUUUCUGAAAGCUGUUAUAAUAGGGCACAUGCGCUUAGGGCAUUAAUGAAGUCGGCUCAGUUCUGGCUGGUCUCAUUUCAUGGAGCUAAUUGUUAAGUGUUUUGCAUACUUACAAUUGAACUAAAUUAUUCCAAGCUCGCUGGUUUCAGGAAGUGUUAAUUAUAUUUCAGUAAAGGAAAAUCAAGGCUAAAAAAUCAUCCACUUAGAGCUUAUCUAUUUAUGAACAUCUCAUUCUGGAGAUCUCAAACAUAUAUUUUAACACCAUGUGAAUAUUGAGAUUAAUAUUUCUUCACCAAAGAAAGCUUUAUUCCUCCUUUGAAUAGGCCCCUUCUCCCCCCAUUCCGUCCUUCUAGCUUUAUUCAGCAGUCUGGUCUGAAAGUUGAAAGAGGCCUUCUUGUCUAUUUCUGGCGCCUUGAAUCUUUAAGUUGGGUGCCAAGAGCAGCAUUAGCUCCAUUCAUCUUGAGACCAACUGGCCUUCUACAAAUGAUAUUAAUUCAUUUAGGGGUCCUGCACAGGCCGUUUCGGACCAAGUGCUCCCUUGCUCCUGGGGUUCUUUCUUGAGGUCCAGGCUGAUGGAACAGCUCCCACUGGGAACAUGAAAAUCUCAUGGCAGAGGGAAAAAGAGCGAAGACAGAACACGUGAUGACUCUUAAACUUUCUGCUUAGAUAAGGGCUCUGACUUGGUGUAUGAGAGCUGCUGGGCCUGAGAAGACAACCUUCUCCAAGUUCUGCUACUCUUAUGAUUGUGUCCUGGAUCUAGCUCCAGGAUAUUAGUUCCCUGACCAGGGAUCGACCCCUUGCCCCCUGAAAUGGAAGCCCAGAGUCCUGACCACUGGACUGCCAGGAAUGUCCCCUGGAUGUGUUUUGGAUGCAGAGCCUAUGGGGAUUUUAAUGGAUUGGAUCUGAUAUGAGAAGAGGAAAUGGAGUUAUUUUUCAAGAAAUAUUGAGUGCCUUCUGUCUUCAGGCAUUACUCUAGAGGCUAAGGGAAUAGUGAAGAAUAAAAUAGAUGUGAUCUCUUUCCUCAUGGAACUUAAGUCUGUAUCUCUUCUAUGCCCCUUUGAGGAAGCCUGGGGUGGUGUGGGGUUCUAGUGGGGAUGGGAUGAGAAAGUGAAGGCAGGGGCAGAUGCAAUUGAUGAUGGAGCUGAAGAGAGAAGGGGCAGAGGGUGAAGACAGGCUGUGAACUGUAAAAAUCAGUGGCUCUGGUUGAAGAAGAUGCAGUGAUGUCCUGACUCCUGUUUACUAUUAGUGUGACCUUGGCCAAGUCAUGUCUUCUCUAUGAGAAGCCUCAGUUUCUUCAUCUGUAAAGUGGGAAUGACAAAUCCAACUGCUUAGUGAACUUACUAAAGUCAGUGACAUUGAUUCAUUCCCUCAUUGAGCCCCUUAGACAGGACCACAAGUGUUGCAAGUGUUCCUAGGAGGGUCCUAGGAACCUCAGAGUCCGCCUACA